AUCUAAAUAGUUUAAUAAAAAUUUUAAUUUGUGGGAUUAAAGAUAUAGCUUAUUUGUUAUUUUAGAUA
rnacentral:tRNA from 1 species